rnacentral:rRNA from 1 species
GAUGAACGCUAGCUACAGGCUUAACACAUGCAAGUCGAGGGGAAACGACAUCGAAAGCUUGCUUUUGAUGGGCGUCGACCGGCGCACGGGUGAGUAACGCGUAUCCAACCUGCCCACCACUUGGGGAUAACCUUGCGAAAGUAAGACUAAUACCCGAUGAUAUCCCUAGACGACAUCUGAAAGGGAUUAAAGAUUUAUCGGUGAUGGAUGGGGAUGCGUCUGAUUAGCUUGUUGGCGGGGUAACGGCCCACCAAGGCAACGAUCAGUAGGGGUUCUGAGAGGAAGGUCCCCCACAUUGGAACUGAGACACGGUCCAAACUCCUACGGGAGGCAGCAGUGAGGAAUAUUGGUCAAUGGGCGAGAGCCUGAACCAGCCAAGUAGCGUGCAGGACGACGGCCCUAUGGGUUGUAAACUGCUUUUAUAAGGGAAUAAAGUGAGUCUCGUGAGACUUUUUGCAUGUACCUUAUGAAUAAGGACCGGCUAAUUCCGUG